rnacentral:sRNA from 1 species
UAAGUUAGAGGUGAUUAAAACAAUGGACAAUAUUUUUUUUUUUUGAGACUGAGUUUCGCUCUUGUUGUCCAGGCUGGAGUGCACUGGCACAAUCUCAGCUCACUGCAACCUCUGCCUCCUGGGUUCAAGCAAUUCUCCUGCCUCA